rnacentral:rRNA from 1 species
GACGAACGCUGGCGGCGUGCUUAACACAUGCAAGUCGAACGAAGAGCGAUGGAAGCUUGCUUCUAUCAAUCUUAGUGGCGAACGGGUGAGUAACGCGUAAUCAACCUGCCCUUCAGAGGGGGACAACAGUUGAAAACGACUGCUAAUACCGCAUACGAUCUAACCUCGGCAUCGAGGAUGGAUGAAAGGUGGCCUCUAUUUAUAAGCUAUCACUGAAGGAGGGGAUUGCGUCUGAUUAGCUAGUUGGAGGGGUAACGGCCCACCAAGGCGAUGAUCAGUAGCCGGUCUGAGAGGAUGAACGGCCACAUUGGGACUGAGACACGGCCCAGACUCCUACGGGAGGCAGCAGUGGGGAAUCUUCCGCAAUGGACGAAAGUCUGACGGAGCAACGCCGCGUGAGUGAUGACGGCCUUCGGGUUGUAAAGCUCUGUUAAUCGGGACGAAAGGCCUUCUUGCGAAUAGUUAGAAGGAUUGACGGUACCGGAAUAGAAAGCCACGGCUAACUACGUG